rnacentral:rRNA from 1 species
UACGAAGGUCCCAAGCGUUAUCCGGAUUUAUUGGGUUUAAAGGGUGCGUAGGCGGUUUAUUAAGUCAGUGGUGAAAGCCUUCAGCUUAACUGAAGAACUGCCAUUGAUACUGAUGAUCUUGAGUAUGAUUGAGGCGGGCGGAAUGUGUCAUGUAGCGGUGAAAUGCUUAGAUAUGACACAGAACACCGAUUGCGAAGGCAGCUCGCUAAGCCAUAACUGACGCUGAUGCACGAAAGCGUGGGGAGCAAACAGG